GUGCCAGCAGCCGCGGUAAUACGUAGGGUGCGAGCGUUGUCCGGAAUUACUGGGCGUAAAGAGCUCGUAGGUGGUUUGUCGCGUCGUUUGUGUAAGCCCGCAGCUUAACUGCGGGACUGCAGGCGAUACGGGCAUGCUUGAGUGCUGUAGGGGUAGCUGGAAUGCCUGGUGUAGCGGUGAAAUGCGCAGAUAUCAGGCAGAACGCCGAUGGCGAAGGCAGGUUACUGGGCAGUUACUGACGCUGAGGAGCGAAAGCAUGGGUAGCGAACAGGAUUAGAUACCCUGGUAGUCCAUGCCGUAAACGGUGGGCGCUAGGUGUGAGGCCCUUCCACGGGUUUCGUGCCGUAGCUAACGUGUUAAGCGCCCCGCCUGGGGAGUACGGCCGCAAGGCUAAAACUCAAAGGAAUUGACGGGGGCCCGCACAAGCGGCGGAGCAUGUGGAUUAAUUCGAUGCAACGCGAAGAACCUUACCUGGGCUUGACAUGCACUAGAUCGCCUCAGAGAUGGGGUUUCCCUUUGUGGUUGGUGUACAGGUGGUGCAUGGUUGUCGUCAGCUCGUGUCGUGAGAUGUUGGGUUAAGUCCCGCAACGAGCGCAACCCUUGUCUUAUGUUGCCAGCAUUUGGUUGGGGACUCGUGAGAGACUGCCGGGGUUAACUCGGAGGAAGGUGGGGAUGACGUCAAAUCAUCAUGCCCCUUAUGUCCAGGGCUUCACACAUGCUACAAUGGUCGGUACAACGCGUUUGCGAGCCUGUGAGGGUGAGCUAAUCGCUGAAAGCCGGUCGUAGUUCGGAUUGGGGUCUGCAACUCGACCCCAUGAAGUCGGAGUCGCUAGUAAUCGCAGAUCAGCAACGCUGCGGUGAAUACGUUCCCGGGCCUUGUACACACCGCCCGUCACGUCAUGAAAGUUGGUAACACCCGAAGCCAGUGGCCUGUUAAAGGGAGUCGUCGAAGGUGGGAUCGGCGAUUGGGACGAAGUCGUAACAAGGUA
rnacentral:rRNA from 1 species